rnacentral:sRNA from 1 species
CCAAAACCAAAAGGGAAGAGUGGAUCAUAGUGUAGGUCACCAACAUUCAUGGGCAGCUGGUCAACAGACUUGAACCAAGUGCGUGGGAGCUUCCCGGUGAAGCCAUAGUCCCCAAACAGUACAUCCGCAACACCCUGACCUUCUGUUCCAGGAAGCCAAGCUGCGACGAGCGCUUCCAUCAUUGGAAGAUAUGGUUCAAUGACAACAGGCCGACCAGAGAUGAUAACCACUGCACACUUAGCUGUGGAACACACUGUUCGGAUUGUGUCUGUACCAGGGUCUAGGAUGGUGAGUUCUGGGUCAUCACCUGUUGUUUCAGCAUAUGUUCGCUCACCAACAACAACAAUAGCGAAUGAGAAGUCAUUGUUUUUCAUGAAGCUUUCAUCAGGGUUCUCAGAGUAGACAACAUGUGUUGAAUCAGCGACAGUGGACUUUAUGGCCUCAAGAAUUGUUUAAUAUCUCCACUACCUCCGAUCCAUUCAAUUGACCACCCGCCACAUUGGUAGCCCAAAUUGCUAGCAUGGCUUCCAGCUACAAGGAUACUUCUAGCUUUCUUUGGUAGAGGCAGGAAUUGUUGAUUGGGAGAGUUGCCGUUUUUUAAUAGAACAAGUGAUUUCCUGACGGCUUCUCUAGCCAAAUCUCUGUGCUCCUGUUAAAUUACUGAUCUGCGAAGCUAAGAUCAGCUAAAGGGUUCUCGAAUAGGCCCAUUAUAAAUUUGACUCGAAGGAUACGCCUGACAGCAUCAUCAAUUCUGCUCAUAUUGAUAAUACCCUUCUUAACAAGAGAUGUCACAUCAUCAAUGUAUUGGGUGUAAUUGAAUGGCACCAUGACCUGUUAUGGAGAUGAAAUGAUCUUGCACAGAGUAAGUAUAAUUUGCAUCAGGUGGUGACGUUAUCCUGUCUAUUCCUAGCCAAUCUGAUAUCACAAAUCCCUGCGAUCAGAGAGCAUGAAGAGUAGCCAGUAACCAGAUCAUGAUUGGCAUGCAUUUUGACACCAUUCAAGCUUGAAUAGGAAACCAUAACAGUAGCAACACCCUUUAUAAUAGAGUCAUAAUAUGGGGGCAUGUGAAUGCCUAGAAGCCCAUGUUCAUCAGUGAUCGUGUUGUUCUCAUUGAUUCCAUUAUGAGUUCCACCAUCACCAACAAAGUGCUUAGCACAAGCAGCAACUUUAUCCCUCAAUAUAAGGAACUCCCUUGGUAUGAUUUAUUGGGAUAUCUCCUUGUAGACCAAGUAUAAUGUCUGUCAUCUGCUGGACUACCCUGUGGUCUUCACUGUAGCUCUCAUAACAUCGGCCCCAUCCGUGCGUGUGCUUACUGCAAUACAUGGAGCAAAGGUGUACGGAAUGCCUGUUGCCCGUACUUCAAGAGCAGUUGCUUCGCCGAUCCUCCUUACGAGAACACAUGCCUUGUAGCUCCAAGCCCAAUGUUGUGAGGAAAUAGGGUGGCAUUGUAGACAUUGUUAUUACCAUGAACUGCAUCAAUGCCGUAGAUCAUAGGUAUUCCUAGACGUGUUGACAAGGCGCCUUUCUGGAAUUCAUUUACCAUGUUCACCCAAACUGCAGGAGUAGCCUGGGGAGCAGGGACACUUCCACCACCACUCAAUACACUACCUAGAA